CCUACGGGCGGCAGCAGUAGGGAAUAUUGCUCAAUGGGGGAAACCCUGAAGCAGCCACGCCGCGUGGAGGAUGAAGGUUUUCGGAUUGUAAACUCCUUUUGUUAGAGAAGAUAAUGACGGUAUCUAACGAAUAAGCACCGGCUAACUCCGUGCCAGCAGCCGCGGUAAUACGGAGGGUGCAAGCGUUACUCGGAAUCACUGGGCGUAAAGAGCGCGUAGGCGGGAUAGCAAGUCAGAUGUGAAAUCCUAUGGAUUAACCAUAGAACUGCAUGUGAAACUGUUAGUCUAGAGUAUGGGAGAGGUAGGUGGAAUGCUUGGUGUAGGGGUAAAAUCCGUAGAGAUCAAGAGGAAUACUGAUUGCGAAGGCGACCUGCUGGAACAUAACUGACGCUGAGGCGCGAAAGCGUGGGGAUCAAACAGGAUUAGAUACCCCUGUAGUC
rnacentral:rRNA from 1 species